rnacentral:rRNA from 1 species
AUUGAACGCUGGCGGCAUGCCUUACACAUGCAAGUCGAACGGUAACGCGGGGCAACCUGGCGACGAGUGGCGAACGGGUGAGUAAUGCAUCGGAACGUGCCCAGUCGUGGGGGAUAACUGCUCGAAAGAGCAGCUAAUACCGCAUACGACCUGAGGGUGAAAGCGGGGGAUCGCAAGGCCUCGCGCAACUGGACCGGCCGAUGACGGAUUAGCUAGUUGGUGGGGUAAAGGCCCACCAAGGCGACGAUCCGUAGCUGGUCUGAGAGGACGACCAGCCACACUGGGACUGAGACACGGCCCAGACUCCUACGGGAGGCAGCAGUGGGGAAUUUUGGACAAUGGACGCAAGUCUGAUCCAGCCAUGCCGCGUGCGGGAAGAAGGCCUUCGGGUUGUAAACCGCUUUUGUCAGGGAAGAAAUCUUCUGGGUUAAUACCUCGGGAGGAUGCCGGUACCUGAAGAAUAAGCACCGGCUAACUACGUGCCAGCCGCCGCGGUAAUAC